GGGUUGUGAGGUUAAGCGACUAAGCGUACACGGUGGAUGCCCUGGCAGUCAGAGGCGAUGAAGGACGUGCUAAUCUGCGAUAAGCGUCGGUAAGGUGAUAUGAACCGUUAUAACCGGCGAUUUCCGAAUGGGGAAACCCAGUGUGAUUCGUCACACUAUCAUUAACUGAAUCCAUAGGUUAAUGAGGCGAACCGGGGGAACUGAAACAUCUAAGUACCCCGAGGAAAAGAAAUCAACCGAGAUUCCCCCAGUAGCGGCGAGCGAACGGGGAGCAGCCCAGAGCCUGAAUCAGUGUGUGUGUUAGUGGAAGCGUCUGGAAAGGCGCGCGAUACAGGGUGACAGCCCCGUACACAAAAAUGCACAUGCUGUGAGCUCGAUGAGUAGGGCGGGACACGUGGUAUCCUGUCUGAAUAUGGGGGGACCAUCCUCCAAGGCUAAAUACUCCUGACUGACCGAUAGUGAACCAGUACCGUGAGGGAAAGGCGAAAAGAACCCCGGCGAGGGGAGUGAAAAAGAACCUGAAACCGUGUACGUACAAGCAGUGGGAGCACGCUUAGGCGUGUGACUGCGUACCUUUUGUAUAAUGGGUCAGCGACUUAUAUUCUGUAGCAAGGUUAACCGAAUAGGGGAGCCGAAGGGAAACCGAGUCUUAACUGGGCGUUAAGUUGCAGGGUAUAGACCCGAAACCCGGUGAUCUAGCCAUGGGCAGGUUGAAGGUUGGGUAACACUAACUGGAGGACCGAACCGACUAAUGUUGAAAAAUUAGCGGAUGACUUGUGGCUGGGGGUGAAAGGCCAAUCAAACCGGGAGAUAGCUGGUUCUCCCCGAAAGCUAUUUAGGUAGCGCCUCGUGAAUUCAUCUCCGGGGGUAGAGCACUGUUUCGGCAAGGGGGUCAUCCCGACUUACCAACCCGAUGCAAACUGCGAAUACCGGAGAAUGUUAUCACGGGAGACACACGGCGGGUGCUAACGUCCGUCGUGAAGAGGGAAACAACCCAGACCGCCAGCUAAGGUCCCAAAGUCAUGGUUAAGUGGGAAACGAUGUGGGAAGGCCCAGACAGCCAGGAUGUUGGCUUAGAAGCAGCCAUCAUUUAAAGAAAGCGUAAUAGCUCACUGGUCGAGUCGGCCUGCGCGGAAGAUGUAACGGGGCUAAACCAUGCACCGAAGCUGCGGCAGCGACGCUGAUGCGUUGUUGGGUAGGGGAGCGUUCUGUAAGCCUGUGAAGGUGUGCUGUGAGGCAUGCUGGAGGUAUCAGAAGUGCGAAUGCUGACAUAAGUAACGAUAAAGCGGGUGAAAAGCCCGCUCGCCGGAAGACCAAGGGUUCCUGUCCAACGUUAAUCGGGGCAGGGUGAGUCGACCCCUAAGGCGAGGCCGAAAGGCGUAGUCGAUGGGAAACAGGUUAAUAUUCCUGUACUUGGUGUUACUGCGAAGGGGGGACGGAGAAGGCUAUGUUGGCCGGGCGACGGUUGUCCCGGUUUAAGCGUGUAGGCUGGUUUUCCAGGCAAAUCCGGAAAAUCAAGGCUGAGGCGUGAUGACGAGGCACUACGGUGCUGAAGCAACAAAUGCCCUGCUUCCAGGAAAAGCCUCUAAGCAUCAGGUAACAUCAAAUCGUACCCCAAACCGACACAGGUUGUCAGGUAGAGAAUACCAAGGCGCUUGAGAGAACUCGGGUGAAGGAACUAGGCAAAAUGGUGCCGUAACUUCGGGAGAAGGCACGCUGAUAUGUAGGUGAAGUCCCUCGCGGAUGGAGCUGAAAUCAGUCGAAGAUACCAGCUGGCUGCAACUGUUUAUUAAAAACACAGCACUGUGCAAACACGAAAGUGGACGUAUACGGUGUGACGCCUGCCCGGUGCCGGAAGGUUAAUUGAUGGGGUCAGCGCAAGCGAAGCUCUUGAUCGAAGCCCCGGUAAACGGCGGCCGUAACUAUAACGGUCCUAAGGUAGCGAAAUUCCUUGUCGGGUAAGUUCCGACCUGCACGAAUGGCGUAAUGAUGGCCAGGCUGUCUCCACCCGAGACUCAGUGAAAUUGAACUCGCUGUGAAGAUGCAGUGUACCCGCGGCAAGACGGAAAGACCCCGUGAACCUUUACUAUAGCUUGACACUGAACAUUGAGCCUUGAUGUGUAGGAUAGGUGGGAGGCUUUGAAGUGUGGACGCCAGUCUGCAUGGAGCCGGCCUUGAAAUACCACCCUUUAAUGUUUGAUGUUCUAACGUUGACCCGUGAUCCGGGUUGCGGACAGUGUCUGGUGGGUAGUUUGACUGGGGCGGUCUCCUCCUAAAGAGUAACGGAGGAGCACGAAGGUUGGCUAAUCCUGGUCGGACAUCAGGAGGUUAGUGCAAUGGCAUAAGCCAGCUUGACUGCGAGCGUGACGGCGCGAGCAGGUGCGAAAGCAGGUCAUAGUGAUCCGGUGGUUCUGAAUGGAAGGGCCAUCGCUCAACGGAUAAAAGGUACUCCGGGGAUAACAGGCUGAUACCGCCCAAGAGUUCAUAUCGACGGCGGUGUUUGGCACCUCGAUGUCGGCUCAUCACAUCCUGGGGCUGAAGUAGGUCCCAAGGGUAUGGCUGUUCGCCAUUUAAAGUGGUACGCGAGCUGGGUUUAGAACGUCGUGAGACAGUUCGGUCCCUAUCUGCCGUGGGCGCUGGAGAACUGAGGGGGGCUGCUCCUAGUACGAGAGGACCGGAGUGGACGCAUCACUGGUGUUCGGGUUGUCAUGCCAAUGGCACUGCCCGGUAGCUAAAUGCGGAAGAGAUAAGUGCUGAAAGCAUCUAAGCACGAAACUUGCCCCGAGAUGAGUUCUCCCUGACUCCUUGAGAGUCCUGAAGGAACGUUGAAGACGACGACGUUGAUAGGCCGGGUGUGUAAGCGCAGCGAUGCGUUGAGCUAACCGGUACUAAUGAACCGUGAGGCUUAACCUUACAACGCCGAAGGUGUUU
rnacentral:rRNA from 1 species